rnacentral:rRNA from 1 species
CGAGUUUGAUCAUGGCUCAGGAUGAACGCUAGCGGCAGGCUUAAUACAUGCAAGUCAAGGGGGUAGCAAUACAACCGGCGCACGGGUGAGUAACGCGUACACAACAUACCAUAUACUGGAGUAUAGCUUUGGGAAACUGAAGGUAAUCCUCCAUAACAUUGCGAGAGGGCAUCUGAUUGCAAUUAAAGUUUCGGCGGUAUAUGAUUGGUGUGCGUUUGAUUAGCUAGUUGGUAGGGUAACGGCCUACCAAGGCGACGAUCAAUAGCUGGCGUGAGAGCGCGACCAGCCACACUGGAACUGAGACACGGUCCAGACUCCUACGGGAGGCAGCAGUAGGGAAUAUUGGACAAUGGAGGAAACUCUGAUCCAGCCAUGCCGCGUGAUAGAUGAAGGCCCUCUGGGUUGUAAAUAUCUUUUAUCUGGGAAGAAACACUCCUAUUCUUAGGAACUUGACGGUACCAGAGGAAUAAGCACCGGCUAACUCCGUG